GUGACCUCAAAUCAGGUAGGACUACCCGCUGAACUUAAGCAUAUCAAUAAGCGGAGGAAAAGAAACUAACAAGGAUUCCCCUAGUAACUGCGAGUGAAGCGGGAAAAGCUCAAAUUUAAAAUCUGGCAGUCUAUGGCUGUCCGAGUUGUAAUCUAGAGAAGUGUUAUCCGCGUUGGACCGUGUACAAGUCUCCUGGAAUGGAGCAUCAUAGAGGGUGAGAAUCCCGUCUUUGACACGGACUGCCAGGGCUUUGUGAUGCGCUCUCAAAGAGUCGAGUUGUUUGGGAAUGCAGCUCAAAAUGGGUGGUAAAUUCCAUCUAAAGCUAAAUAUUGGCGAGAGACCGAUAGCGAACAAGUACCGUGAGGGAAAGAUGAAAAGAACUUUGGAAAGAGAGUUAAACAGUACGUGAAAUUGCUGAAAGGGAAACGCUUGAAGUCAGUCACGUUGGCCAGGGAUCAACCUUGCUUUUGCUUGGUGUAUUUUCUGGUUGACGGGUCAGCAUCAAUUUUGAUCAUUGGAAAAAGGUCAAGGGAAUGUGGCAUCUUUGGAUGUGUUAUAGCCCUUGGUUGCAUACAAUGGUUGGGAUUGAGGAACUCAGCACGCCGUAAGGCCGGGUUUUUAACCACGUACGUGCUUAGGAUGCUGGCAUAAUGGCUUUAAUCGACCCGUCUUGAAACACGGACCAAGGAGUCUAACAUGCCUGCGAGUGUUUGGGUGGAAAACCCGAGCGCGCAAUGAAAGUGAAAGUUGAGAUCCCUGUCGUGGGGAGCAUCGACGCCCGGACCAGACCUUUUGUGACGGUUCCGCGGUAGAGCAUGUAUGUUGGGACCCGAAAGAUGGUGAACUAUGCCUGAAUAGGGUGAAGCCAGAGGAAACUCUGGUGGAGGCUCGUAGCGAUUCUGACGUGCAAAUCGAUCGUCAAAUUUGGGUAUAGGGGCGAAAGACUAAUCGAACCAUCUAGUAGCUGGUUCCUGCCGA
rnacentral:rRNA from 2 species